rnacentral:rRNA from 2 species
ACGGGGGGUGCAAGCGUUGUUCGGAAUCAUUGGGCGUAAAGCGCGCGCAGGCGGCUUGGUAAGUCAGAUGUGAAAUCCCUGGGCUUAACCCAGGAAGUGCAUUUGAUACUGCCUCGCUAGAGUACGGGAGAGGAAAGUGGAAUUCCUGGUGUAGAGGUGAAAUUCGUAGAUAUCAGGAGGAACACCGGUGGCGAAGGCGACUUUCUGGCCCGAUACUGACGCUCAGGCGCGAAAGCGUGGGGAGCAAACAG